rnacentral:rRNA from 1 species
ACGCUGGCGGCAGGCUACACAUGCAAGUCGAGCGCCCCGCAAGGGGAGCGGCAGACGGGAGAGUAACACGUGGGAACGUACCCUUCAGUUCGGAACAACCCAGGGAAACUUGGGCUAAUACCGAAUACGUCCGUAAGGAGAAAGAUUUAUCGCUGAAGGAUCGGCCCGCGUCUGAUUAGCUUGUUGGUGAGGUAACGGCUCACCAAGGCUACGAUCAGUAGCUGGUCUGAGAGGAUGAUCAGCCUCACUGGGACUGAGACACGGCCCAGACUCCUACGGGAGGCAGCAGUGGGGAAUAUUGGACAAUGGGCGCAAGCCUGAUCCAGCCAUGCCGCGUGGAUGAUGAAGGCCUUAGGGUUGUAAAGUCCUUUCGACGGGGAAGAUAAUGACGGUACCCGUAGAAGAAGCCCCGGCUAACUUCGUGCCAGCAGCCGCGGUAAUACGAAGGGGGCUAGCGUUGCUCGGAAUCACUGGGCGUAAAGCGCACGUAGGCGGCUCUUUAAGUCAGAGGUGAAAUCCUGGGGCUCAACCCCAGAACUGCCUUUGAUACUGA